AUUGAACGCUGGCGGCAUGCUUUACACAUGCAAGUCGAACGGCAGCGCGGGCUUCGGCCUGGCGGCGAGUGGCGAACGGGUGAGUAAUGCAUCGGAACGUGCCCAGUAGUGGGGGAUAGCCCGGCGAAAGCCGGAUUAAUACCGCAUACGACCUGAGGGUAAAAGCGGGGGACCGAAAGGCCUCGCGCUAUUGGAGCGGCCGAUGUCGGAUUAGCUAGUUGGUGGGGUAAAGGCUUACCAAGGCGACGAUCCGUAGCUGGUCUGAGAGGACGACCAGCCACACUGGGACUGAGACACGGCCCAGACUCCUACGGGAGGCAGCAGUGGGGAAUUUUGGACAAUGGGGGCAACCCUGAUCCAGCCAUGCCGCGUGCGAGAAGAAGGCCUUCGGGUUGUAAACCGCUUUUGUUCGGGAAGAAAUCCUCUGGGCUAAUACCCCGGGGGGAUGACGGUACCGGAAGAAUAAGCACCGGCUAACUACGUG
rnacentral:rRNA from 1 species